rnacentral:SRP_RNA from 1 species
GCCAGGCGUGGUGGCACACGCCUGUAGUCCCAGCUACUUGGGAGGCUGAGGCAGAAGAAUUGCUUGAACCUAGGAGACGGAAGUUGCAGUGAGCCGAGAUUGCGCCACUGCACUCCAGCCUGGGUGACAGAGCGAGACUCUGUCUCAA